CCCAGGGAAACUUGGGCUAAUACCGGAUAAGCCCUUACGGGGAAAGAUUUUUCGCCGAAGGAUCGGCCCGCGUCUGAUUAGCUAGUUGGUGGGGUAAUGGCCCACCAAGGCGACGAUCAGUAGCUGGUAUGAGAGGAUGAUCAGCCUCACUGGGACUGAGACACGGCCCAGACUCCUACGGGAGGCAGCAGUGGGGAAUAUUGGACAAUGGGCGCAAGCCUGAUCCAGCCAUGCCGCGUGGGUGAUGAAGGCCCUAGGGUUGUAAAGUCCUUUCGGCGGGGAAGAUAAUGACGGUACCCGCAGAAGAAGCCCCGGCUAACUUAGUG
rnacentral:rRNA from 1 species